UAAAAAUACUCAAAAAUAUAUAGUUAUAUUAGAAUGGUUUACAAAAUUUCCAUCCAACGUCCGUCCGUCCACGUCGCUUCACCUCCAUCUCCCAACAAAAAAAAAAAAAAACCCAACAAACUCGAGUGAUGCUUUGAUUACCCUGGACAAAUGUAAAAACCCUACCUACAUGACCAACUUUAACAGCAUACUGACACCAUAACCUAACGGACACGAAGCAAGACUCUACGACCAUGGGAAGCAGUAUAAACUUAGUGAUGACUUGGAUCACCAAGGUGGUCUCUCAGCGAGUCCAAAGGAAGGCGCCCAUGGCGAAUUCCCUCUUCUGAGCGAGGUCACCGAACACGGGCAGCCCGUACUCCCUCAGAAGGCAGUCGACCUUCCACUCCGGCAUCGUCUCGUAGUCGGCCUUGGUGUAGCUCGGGUAGUGAAGGGGCAUCCGGAAGUACCCCACGCUUCUCUCCUUCCCACGAUGGCCCUGCCCGUUGGCCUCCCCCGGCUUCCUCCUCGUCACCCACUCCAUGCUUCUUCGCUCCUUCUCACCCUCUACUACUUCUCUCUUAGUUAUCUCCAUCUCUCUCUCUCUCUCUCUCUCCCUCUCCCUUCCUGUGAUCACUGUGGAGAUGGAAUUUCUUAUAUAGAGGGAGAGAAGGGUACUGGAAACCAAAACCCACUCGGAAUUUAGCGUUAUUAACGAGCGGGAAAAGGGUGGUUUCCGACUGCGCACAGGAUUUGUAUUCCCACAGGGACAAAAAUUUCCC
rnacentral:lncRNA from 1 species